GAUGAACGCUGGCGGCGUGCCUAAUACAUGCGAGUCGAACGAAACUUCUUUAUCACCGAGUGCUUGCACUCACCGAUAAAGAGUUGAGUGGCGAACGGGUGAGUAACACGUGGGCAACCUGCCCAAAAGAGGGGGAUAACACCUGGAAACAGGUGCUAAUACCGCAUAACCAUAGUUACCGCAUGGUAACUAUGUAAAAGGUGGCUAUACUACCGCUUUUGGAUGGGCCCGCGGCGCAUUAGCUAGUUGGUAGGGUAAAGGCUUACCAAGGCAAUGAUGCGUAGCCGAAUUGAGAGGUUGAUCGGCCACAUUGGGACUGAGACACGGCCCAAACUCCUACGGGAGGCAGCAGUAGGGAAUCUUCCACAAUGGGCGAAAGCCUGAUGGAGCAACGCCGCGUGGGUGAAGAAGGUCUUCGGAUCGUAAAACCCUGUUGUUAGAGAAGAAAGUGCGUGAGAGUAACUGUUCACGUUUCGACGGUAUCUAACCAGAAAGCCACGGCUAACUACGUG
rnacentral:rRNA from 1 species